UGAUUUGAAUUUCACUAUUCUGCAUAAGUUGCAGUGGUGUUACUUAAGUCUGUAGAUUUCUAAUCUGUAGAGUUAGAAGGUAAAAUAACUUACAAAGACUCCAGAGUGAAGCUGUGCAAUUCAUUGAAUUUUGAUAGAGAUUAUAAUUUUGGCUUAUUAAUUACAGAAACAAUUUAAUGGAGAGGAACGAUUGUUCUGCAUAUUACAUUAGCAAGCAGACUU